UUAAAAUAUAUUCAGUCCUGUAUGAUCAUACAAAUAGGCGCGCGACAAAGCUGCAUUGACUCAAUUUCGAAAUUAUCAAGGUAAGCCAUUUGUCUGUAUUGGGUGGCCGAAACCGCGCUGAUGUGUGCCGGCGCAGUAAGCCAUUUGUCUGUAUUGGGUGGCCGAAACCGCGCUGAUGUGUGCCGGCGCAUUCUGAAGCAUUGCAUGUCAAAUGAGGUGGCCAACCAGUACAGCUGGCAUGGGAGGAAGAAAAAGGCAGUAUUUGGAAAACUUCCAUUGGCUGAUGCUGUGCAGAAAGCUGUCAUGCGGUCCUUGAAAUGCACAGCUGAAGAAGUUGAACAUGAGUGCAGGGAAUGGUUUAGAACAGCCUCUGACCGUGACGGUGGAAGAAAAAAGAGGACAGCCAAAAAAAGUGAUGAACCGUCCCAAUGAAUUUUAACUCGUCUGUGUUUGAACUUUUAAUUUAGUCUCCUGCUGCAAUUUGUUAUGAUGUAAAGGUCUCUUUGAACUUGAAAUUAAUGAUUUUACACAACUUUUCUUCUAAUAUGCAUAAUGAUGGAAGCAGUGUAUAUUUUUUUUUGUUUUUUUUUGCCUUUAUUACCUAAAUAGCUGUAACUCUGUGUGUUACUUAGGUAAACGUAACUUUUCAAUAUAUUCUUGUUCUAAUUGUUUUCAUUUGUCAUUUUUGAAGAAAACAAGUUUCAUGUAGUUUGUAUUAAUAUGUAAGACAAUUUUCUCGUAAUAUGUUUUAUUCAAAACUUUCUAGAAAUGCCCAUAAUUUAUGUCUAAGUUCAGGGGACAUACAAGGUGUUUAUUUCUGAAAAUACUCAAUUAUAAAAACCAAUUCCCUCAAUUCAUUUUGAAUUUGAUAAGUGACAGAACUCAAUUAUUUUUAUUUUCAAGUGAUCAUUUCCUGGCGAAAACAACAAAUAAUUUUAAUAUAUGUUAGUUUAAGGUAUUUAUAACCAUAAUUUUUAUGUAAAUAAGUCCCAGUAAACUACCCAAUUAUAUAUCAUUCAGCAAUCUAUUGCUCUGUCCUACUGCAAUGUAUUCAUUAACAAAUACUGGCUGCUUUAUACUGCAUAGCAUUAUUAGUUCUCUUUAAAGGAAUGGUCUGACUUAAUGGCUUUUUUUUUCAGUAUUUUGGGAAUGUGACCCCAUUCCAUGAAAUUGGGAAAUGUUGUGUCAAUAUAUAUAUUUACCUGCAGUUCAGAAAAAGUACAACUGAUUAACUACAAGUCUUAUUCCACAUUUCACAGCUAGUAUUAACCAUUUAAGACUAUUCAACAAUGAGGAAUUGCUUGACUAGAUUUAGGGGAAAAAAAUGUGUUAUGCCAUUGAGAACAUGGCCCAUUACCUUAAAGCGAGAUUUCUAGUCACUUGUACAUUUACAUUUUGUGCCAUUACUAUGUUGUGUUUUUUUUGCUGGAUAGCAAUUUGCUGAAUUUACUUGUUACAAUUUUUUGUGUAUCGCAUUACUGCUAUGUUGUAUUUUGCUGACUAGUCUUGUUACUAUUUUUUGUGUAUCAUAUGACUACAUUGUUGUAUUUUGCUGACUAGUCUUACUUGUUACUAUUGAUUGUGUAUCGUAUGACUACUAUGUUGUAUUUUGCUGACUAGUCUUAUUUGUUACUAUGUUUUGUGUAUCGUAUGACUACUAUGUUGUACUUUGCUGACUAGUCUUACUUGUUACUAUUUUAUGUGUAUGGUAUGACUACUGUUGUAUUUUGCUGACUAGUCUUAUUUGUUACUAUUUUGUGUGUAUCUUAUGACUACUAUGUUGUAUUUUGCUGACUAGUCUUACUUGUUACUAUUUUUUGUGUAUCGUAUGACUACUAUGUUGUAUUUUGCUAACUAGUCAGAAUUGUUAGUAUUUUAUGGGUAUCGUACGCUAUCCAGUUUAAAGAAAGGGUUAUUUUAUUAAUUGCCAGGGUAUAUAGACCAGUUUUGAUAAUAUGGGUGAUAUGAACCAUUUAUACAUGCAUGUUUGGUAAUUUUCCAUGUAUACAAUAUGCGUGUUGGAUACGUUGGUUUUCUUCAUAAUUCUCUAUUUUAUUUUCAUUUGCCGAAUAUUCUAUUACCAAAAUACAAAACUCAAGUCAUUUGGUCAUUUAAAAUUUUGUUUCAAUGUGUUACUUUUUCAGUUUCUGUACCUGUAGAAUUAUAGAGUCUGUUUAAAUAAUCUCUUUUACAUUUGUUGUUAGUCAAUGUAUAUAUUAAUUAAUUUUACACCAUUAGAAUAAAAAUGUUGGAAUUAGUAAUAAAUCAGUUUAAUAUUUUCAGUUUCAAGACAGUCGUAUAAUUAGCAAAUACUGUGUUCCAGUUUGGUUGAAAAGAAUGUAAAAAUAAAAUGUUGUCUGAAGAAAAUGUUCUUUCAUUUAUUUAAGAAACUGUUUUAGGCCCUUAACACUACCAACAACAAUUAAAAACAAUUGAGGCUAGACAGGGACUGAGGAAUGGUUAAAAGUAUGUCGGCACCAUGCUGGCUCAAGAAGGUAUCGCCGAUAUACAUACCAAUGUCGGGCCAACAUCGAGCCGUGUUGCACUCCCGAUCUCGGGCCGAUAUACAUACCAAUGUCGGGCCAACAUCGAGCCGUGUUGCACUCCCGAUCUCGGGCCGAUGUAAUUACCGAUGUCGGGCCGAUAUACAUACCGAUGUCGGGCCAACAUUGCGCCGUGUUGCACUCCCGUUGUCGGGCCGAUGUAAUUACCGAUGUCGGGCCGAUAUUGAAAUAAAUAUCGGGCCGAUAUCGGACCGAUUUAAAAUGUUUGCUGGG